rnacentral:misc_RNA from 1 species
GAUGAAGAACGUAGCGAAAUGCGAUAAGUAAAGUGAAUUGCAGAAUUCAGUGAAUCAUCGAAUCUUUGAACGCACAUUGCGCCCGCCAGCACUCUGGCGGGCAUGCCUGUUCGAGCGUCAUUUCAACCAUCAAGCCCCCAGGGGCUUGUGCUGGGGCCCUGCGGCUGCCCGCAGGCCCUGAAAACCAGUGGCGGGCUCGCUAGUCACACCGAGCGCAGUAGCACAUCUCGCUCAGGGCGUGCGGCGGGCUCCUGCCGUGAAACCCCCCACUGUAACCCCAAAGGUUGACCUCGGAUCAGGUAGGAAUACCCGCUGAACUUAAGCAUAUCAAUAAGCGGAGGA